rnacentral:rRNA from 1 species
GAUGAACGCUGGCGGCGUGCCUAAUACAUGCAAGUCGAGCGAACAGAUGAGGAGCUUGCUCCUCUGACGUUAGCGGCGGACGGGUGAGUAACACGUGGAUAACCUACCUAUAAGACUGGGAUAACUUCGGGAAACCGAAGCUAAUACCGGAUAAUAUAUUGAACCGCAUGGUUCAAUAGUGAAAGACGGUUUUGCUGUCACUUAUAGAUGGAUCCGCGCCGCAUUAGCUAGUUGGUAAGGUAACGGCUUACCAAGGCAACGAUGCGUAGCCGACCUGAGAGGGUGAUCGGCCACACUGGAACUGAGACACGGUCCAGACUCCUACGGGAGGCAGCAGUAGGGAAUCUUCCGCAAUGGGCGAAAGCCUGACGGAGCAACGCCGCGUGAGUGAUGAAGGUCUUCGGAUCGUAAAACUCUGUUAUUAGGGAAGAACAAGUGUGUAAGUAACUAUGCACGUCUUGACGGUACCUAAUCAGAAAGCCACGGCUAACUACGUG